CAGAGUGGGGGGGGCCUCCUACCUGCAGGCUGUCGGCGCAUGGCUGCGGCGGCGGUUCGUCCGGCUUGAGGAAGACCUGCUGGCCCCGCCUGAGGAAUUGGACAACAGCGAUGAGGAUGUGGUGCAACACCAGGACCAUGCUCGCAGCCGCCCGCCCGCCCCUCCAGCCCGGCCCGCUGCGCUCGGUCAGCGCGUCCGCAACAGCUUCGCUGGUCCGCCCGAGGGUCCGCCCUGGUCCCGCCCCGCCCCCGCCCCCGCCCCGCCCCAGGCCUCCAGGCCCCGCCUACGUCUCUGCUACCAGGGACAGCACUUCAACACCUUCCAAAGAUCGGACCCCACCCGAUCCCGGCCGGCUACCCACUGCCAGGCCUUCCCCCUCCCAAGUCUCCUGCAGCGGGUCGACUAUAAGGGUUCCCUCUCCUCGGUCGCAUCCCAGCCUUCACUGCCCUCCGCUUAUCCCAUCGUCACUCCUCCUAAGGGGUCGGGCCCCUCCCAGAGUCCCGCGCACUGUCGCACCACAUUCUCUCCCCAUCACUUGGACUUCAGUAGCCCGGCCAAAGCCCCGAGGCCGAGUACAGCGCAGUGCGGGGAGAGGGCACGCGACCACAGUCCGGGAGCCCCCACGUCCCUUCUCUCUUUCCAGUGCAGAGGGCAAAGGAAAGUGAGGGAGAAAUUUAGAGGUCGCUUCAAAAUGGGACGAGCCCUGAAGCGAUAGCAGAUCUGUGAAGGAGACACGUGCGCCCUGACACACACAGGCGCACCGAUCCCAAGUGUGGGGUGAGAGCAAUGGGUCCCUAAGGCUACCAGGUCCCCUUCCCAUUGGGCCUCAGUUGUCCCACAAGACUGCCAGAAGACUCAAACUUGGAGCCCUUUCCUGUGACUGCCUCAUUCUUGCCUCCUGGUCUGUCCUGGUGCCCCGCUAACCAUCCAGGAGCAACUUGGAGGCCAUCUGCUCCAGGAGCCUCUCUCUGGAUGCC